rnacentral:lncRNA from 1 species
CUUGAAGUUCAAGUGUUCAACAUUCUUGAAGUUCAACUGUUCAAGUGCUCAAUUUAUUGUCGAAUUCGGUGCACUCUCUCCAACCCGGACGGGUCAUAAAAUUUGGACCCGGACCCGGCCCGGCCCACCCGUUGGUCACCUAUAGUCUCACCUUAUAUGAUGUUUACUUACCUCUUAUAGCUAGCAUCAUAUUUUAUUUCUUCUGGAUUUCUAUUAAUCCUUCCAAGAAGAAGAUUUAAGUUUUUUUUUUAUAUAUUUAACUGUAGAACACAAAAGCUAAUUAAUACACCUCUAUUCUUUUCAUUCUUUGUUCAAUACAGUGUUUGUGUUUUUGUGAUAUUUCCCUAGUUUAGACAUCAGUUCUUUAAUUUGUUUAACCCAAUAAGUGCAUUUUAUUAUUAUGUAGUAUUUGUCAUCAUUCUAGAUAUUUGUUUAAUAGGUUUCUAAGAGAAUAAAUUAAGGUUCAACAAAUAUGUAGCCAUUGUAAGUUAUUGACCUUAGCACUAAUCAUUUCACGAUAUCAA